rnacentral:rRNA from 1 species
UACGGGGGGGGCAAGCGUUGUUCGGAAUUACUGGGCGUAAAGCGCACGUAGGCGGCUUCUUAAGUCAGGGGGUGAAAUCCUGGAGCUCAAACUCCAGAACUGCCUUUGAUACUGAGGAGCUUGGAGUCCGGGAGAGGUGAGUGGAACUGCGAGUGUAGAGGUGAAAUUCGUAGAUAUUCGGCAAGAACACCAGUGGCGAAGGCGGCCUCACUGGCCCGGUACUGACGCUGAGGUGCGAAAGCGUGGGGAGCAAACAGGGAGUUAGAAACCCGAGAUAA